rnacentral:rRNA from 1 species
CGGUUGAUCCUGCCGGAGAUCACUGCUAUUGGAAUUCGGCUAAGGCAUGCGAGUCGAGAGGGUUCGGCCCUCGGCAGACGGCUCAGUAACACGUGGAUAAUCUGCCCUUAGGUGGGGAAUAAUCUCGAGAAAUUGAGCAUAAUGCCCCAUAGCCUUAGAAUGCUGGAAUGCUUUUAAGGCAAAAGCCCCGGCGCCUAAGGAUGAGUCUGCGGCCUAUCAGGUUGUAGUGAGUGUAACGGACUCACUAGCCGACGACGGUUACGGGUCCUGGAAGGGAGUGCCCGGAGAUGGACUCUGAGACACGAGUCCAGGCCCUACGGGGCGCAGCAGCUACGAAAACUUCACAAUGCGGGAAACCGCGAUGAGGGAAUUCCAAGUGCUUAUACUUUGUAUAAGCUGUUUACUUGCCUAAAAAGCAGGUAGAGUAAGGGCUGGGUAAGACUGGUGCCAGCCGCCGCGGUAAUACCAGCAGCUCAAGUGGUGAUCGUUUUUAUUGGGCCUAAAGCGUCCGUAGCCUGUUUGGUAAACCCUUGGGUAAAUCGGGCAGCUUAACUGUCCGAAUUCUGAGGAGACUGCCAGACUUGGGACCGGGAGAGGUCAGAGGUACUCUUAGGGUANGGGGUGAAGUCCUGUAAUCCUAAGAGGACCACCAGUGGCGAANGCGUCUGACUAGAACGGGUCUGACGGUAAGGGACGAAGCCCUGGGUCACGAACCGGAUUAGAUACCCGGGUAGUCCAGGGUGUAAACGCUGCGGGCUUGGUGUU